GUUGUAGUUCAUUAUGUGGUGAUUGUUUAAGCAAAAAUAUUUAUUAACACCUCAACAUCACCAUCUGUCUGUAAUGUAUAUUAUAAUUUUAUUGUGUAUUUUUUUGUGUUGUUUUUACAUUUUUUUUUAUUUGCUGAUUAAUGUGACAAUUCCUGCUAUAGCUAAGUGGUGUUAAGAACCAGGAUGGCUGGUGUCUUCCUCUGGCGUGACUUUGGUGACCCAGAAGACGAGCACUUAAAUGCUGUGGUUAAAAUAGGAGAAAAGCUUGAUAUGGAUCAGUAACAGUAUUUUUUUUUAACUUAACAUGUUGUAAUUAUAUCAUGAACUCUGGACUAUUUCACGGAUCCUUACAUGCAUGUUUGCUCCUUCAUCUGCAGACUCCGAAGGACUGACCUGUGCAGCACAUAUAUGCUACGUGAAUGCAAACAUGUCAGGGAUCCCGCUUUGAUCUCAUUGGGUGUGACAGAUCUACAAGUCCUGUCAGCAAGCUGGCUGAGUCUGGCCUUUUUGAUCAAGCCUUUGAUUAUUGCAAGACCAUCUCUAGUGCAAUUGCCACUUGCCCUCGCGAAAUCACAGAGACCACGAUAGAACUGACUAUUGCGCUUUUGUAGUUUGAGAGACUACACCAAGGGAAGAAUCUUCAUCAGCUGCACACAGACAAAGUGUUUGAGCUGAAGGACUCAGAAUGUGGCCUUAUGACUAGUGAGAUGUUCGCUCUCCAGCUUCCACAUCUGGAAUGCCACACUACACCAUGGGGUUGCCACAGUCUGAUAUGUUGGUGUCUGGGCCAGGACCCUGAAUCUCGGCCAAGCUUCGAAGAAAUCCUCAGCCAUGAAAGGUUUAAAAGUCUUCAGAACUAAGUCCAGGAACCACCGAAUGCACCUCACUCCUGUGAUGCACAAGACAGAUGUGAAACAGAUGUGAAGACAGCAGUACUUCUAAUAGGACCACAGAUAGCUAGAAGUUGACAUGGAUGGACCCACAUGGAUAUCCUAAACAUUGCUCUUACCAUAUAAAUCUACAGAAUCGGUGACUUCAUUUCUUCAAUUGAUACAAACAGUUUUCCUACGAUGGCUCAGGACUACAAUUCCCACAGUUUUCACAAUUCCCCCCCAACAGUUUUGCCCUCAAGUCUCCAUCAGUGAACAGUUGAAAAAUAGACUCCAUGUUAAAACUAUAAUGAACUACCUGGUUACGCAACUGCACUUUUUGACCAUAUAGUAUACUGUUAUAGAAUAUCACACUAUCUGCUGUGACCCAGAUGAGGAUGGGUUCCCUUCUGAGUCUGGUUCUGGGCUACCACGGGCCAUGUCGAUCGGGUGUCCGCACUAAGAUUGGUGUCAAUAUGGUGUUCCUAAGGGAGCUCUGGACUACCAGGUCACCUAAGGAGGGAUGAACCGACCCAGGUUGGGAAUGAAGCAGGUCAAAGCCCCUGUACCAAUCAGUAGUGGGAUAGUGCCUGUGAAUAGAUGUGGUAGUGCAGCCUGGGUGAUACAGUGAGUCUCUUACAUAAACAUUUCAUGAUCACAAUUUUUGCUAGAACAAUGCCAUAUAAGCAUAUCAAAUGCUACAUAAUGUGAAUAUACGCAUCACUUCUAAGAGCAGACAUUUUCACGUUUUUUUUUUCUUCACAAUAAUAUAUAUGGAACACAUGAUCCAAAUACAUUCAUUUCUUCUUCUUCUUUUUUUUUUUAAAGUCACCACCAUUUAAUAAAGCACUUUAUGAGAGACAAAGGGUUGCUCUUAUUAUUAAUAUAUAGGUUAGGUGCAAGAUUAAGAAUUCCAAUGUGCAGUGCAUGAGCAUGAUGCAAUGCUUUAAAAGUAACUCUAUAGUAUAAAUGUUUCAAUUCAUUAAGUGUUUUGAAUUCAGUUCCUAUUCCAUGACAAUCCCUUGUGCAUACCUUCAUUAAUAUGUCACCUAAUAGGUAUUAAAAGUCAUCAGAAUUAUAUUGUCGUAAAAAGUAAGCUUGGAAUAAAAUAAAACGUCUUAAAGACUUUAAUGUCUUAAAGAUUAUCUGACUUAGUGAACUACAACAUGUACUAAACAAAUAGGGUUUAUUUGGUCUGUUAUCAACAUACAGUGAAUCAGUGAAAAGCAAUUCAUACAAAAAGUGACUCAAUUACAAAAAUAUGGUUACCACAAAAACUUGUGGUUUAUACUAAAAGCAAUAUAUGCGGUAGGCUUUGCAUAGUGAAGUCUUUGAAAACACUAAUACACAACACAGCAGUAUUACAACAAGCAGCGUUCCUCAGAUAGCUGUACAAUAUGCUAUUAGCGUUGUUCUAUACAUUUGACUCCCAUUAUAAAGAUAACCGGGUCAUCUUGCUUCAUUUAAUACCCCAUAGCACUGCAUUCAACAACAGCCCAUCACUACAGAGUGUUCAAAGUAUUACACGCUCGUUUCCCCAUUUUUACAAUGAACUCUGUACGACGAAGCUCAUAGGAAGGCAGGUUCAGAUUGUUUUCCUUCAAGGCGCUGCAUCAAUCAGCAAAGACUCGUCUAAUCUAAACACAUAUUGAUCAAAUUAAUCUAACGUAAUAUGGUUGUUGCUAAACUAGGUGUGGUUCAUUUUAAAACGAUACAGUUCAUCUCUUUAAAUAGUGCUGAUGGUGUGAAAAGUAUUGAGCUAAUAGAAGAUGAAAUGCAGUAGUGGUAAAUAUUAAUGCUUAUAAACAAGUGAGUACUCUACAAACAUUACUGCAUAAAUUUUAUGUAUGUAACAACCAAUGACACUUUGCCAAAUUUCAAAUGCCUGAGAGAGCAAGUUGUUAUAAUAUGGCAAAAUAACUGCAUGAAUGUCCAUCUAGUUGGAUCUUAUUUGUCUGAUGGCAGAAGAAAUAAAUUCGGAUAUGAAAAUCAUAAUGGAUGACUGUUGCAUAAACCUCACUGGA